rnacentral:rRNA from 1 species
GACGAACGCUGGCGGCGUGCUUAACACAUGCAAGUCGAACGAAGAGCGAUGGAAGCUUGCUUCUAUCAAUCUUAGUGGCGAACGGGUGAGUAACGCGUAAUCAACCUGCCCUUCAGAGGGGGACAACAGUUGGAAACGACUGCUAAUACCGCAUACGAUCUAACCUCGGCAUCGAGGAUAGAUGAAAGGUGGCCUCUACAUGUAAGCUAUCACUGCAGGAGGGGAUUGCGUCUGAUUAGCUAGUUGGAGGGGUAACGGCCCACCAAGGCGAUGAUCAGUAGCCGGUCUGAGAGGAUGAACGGCCACAUUGGGACUGAGACACGGCCCAGACUCCUACGGGAGGCAGCAGUGGGGAAUCUUCCGCAAUGGACGAAAGUCUGACGGAGCAACGCCGCGUGAGUGAUGACGGCCUUCGGGUUGUAAAGCUCUGUUAAUCGGGACGAAAGGCCUUCUUGCGAAUAGUUAGAAGGAUUGACGGUACCGGAAUAGAAAGCCACGGCUAACUACGUG